CCCUUAGACGUUCUGGGCCGCACGCGCGCUACACUGACCAGUGCAACAAGCAUCCGUCCUUGGCCGACAGGCUCGGGCAAUCUUUGAACGCUGGUCGUGAUGGGGAUAGACUUUUGCAAUUUUUGGUCUUCAACGAGGAAUUCCCAGUAAACGCAAGUCAUCAACUUGCAUUGAUUACGUCCCUGCCCUUUGUACACACCGCCCGUCGCACCUACCGAUUGAAUGGUCCGGUGAAGCCUCCGGAUUGGCGCGCACCUCGGUGCCGCCGAGAAGUUGGCUAAACCUUACCAUUUAGAGGAAGGUGAAGUCGUAACA
rnacentral:rRNA from 1 species